rnacentral:rRNA from 1 species
GGAGUUUGGGCCGUGUCUCAGUCCCAAUGUGGCCGUACACCCUCUCAGGCCGGCUACUGAUCGUCGCCUUGGUGGGCCGUUACCUCACCAACUAGCUAAUCAGACGCGGGUCCAUCUCACACCACCGGAGUUUUUCACACCGUACCAUGCGAUACUGUGCGCUUAUGCGGUAUUAACAGUCGUUUCCAACUGUUAUCCCCCUGUGUGAGGCAGGUUACCCACGCGUUACUCACCCGUCCGCCACUAAGUAUUUCAAAUGAUUCUUCAGAAGCAAGCUUCCUCGGUCUCGGGAGGAAUACUCCGUUCGACUUGCAUGUGUUAAGCACGCCGCCAGCGUCGUCCUGAGCCAGGAGUCAAACUACU